rnacentral:lncRNA from 1 species
AUGGAGGUGGUUUCCCCCAUGCUCUUCUUGUGAUAGUGAGUGAGUUCUAAUGAGAUCUGAUGGUUUUAUAAGGGGCUUUUCCCCCUUCAGUGGGCACUUUUUCUUCCUGCUGCCUUGUGAAGAAGGUUCCUUGCUUCCUUCCUGAGGCCUCCCCAGUCAUGCUGAACUGAUAAAUGUUCUCAUCAGCUGCUCUACCUGAGGCAGGAACACACUCACCAGAUCGCCCUCGGAGGAGGGACUUGCCCUCAUUUGAGGGAGCCCCAUCAGCAGACAGCCCCCAGCUGCAAGCUUUCUCUGCCUCCACCUCAGCUACCAGAGCCACCUGACCCUGGGUCGCAAACCACACCCAGCUACUGAGCAAGGCAGGAGCAAGAAGAUGCCACCAUUUUGGCCCAGGGAAGACAACUCUAGCCAGAUUUCUUGGGCCUACAGCAUCAUUUCACAGCUUCCUCUGCUCAGAUCUCACCCUUCCAUUCACGGCUGCAGAUUUCUGAUAAAAUCUUGCACCUCGAACUCCAUGUUAACCGCUGCUUCUGGAGAAUCCAACCUGUGACUCUAACUCAGAGUCUGCUGCCACAGGCUCCAGGUGCUUAGCCCUGCAGGUGAGCCUCGUCAACAUACAUAUGAAUACACCCUCAGUUCACAGCUUCACGCCUCACUAUGUAACUGAAGUUUAAGAGUAAACACACACAGCAGUGUACCAGUGUAAUUGUUGUUCUCUGGCUAACUGUGUGUGUAAACAAGACCUGACGGAGAUGAGCAAGUGGCAGCUCAUAGUCUGCCCCUUGGUCCUUGAUAUGCAAGAAUCUAAUUUAAACCCAGAGAGGAGUCUCUCCAGCUCUUCUCUGUAGAAGUGAUGGGGCAGCUGGGCAUUCUCAUAGCUCCCCUGUGCCCCAUAAUCUUAGGUAUGAGUGUAACAUUGAACCCACAAUGUCCUGGUCAAUAAUCAAAGAAUAGAAAAAUAGAACAAUAGAAAAGUCAAUUGAAAGAGGAAGAUGAUUGAAUUUAGCAAAGUAUUGCUUUCAGUCAUUCCUGAUUUACAGUUUAACCCCCAGGCUCAGAGUCUCAGGCCGGCGUAGGAAUGUAGCACAAAUCCUCUGAGCUCUGGGCUGGUUUGGGAGCAAGCUGUCUGGGUUUCAGUCAGUGCAUACACAAAAC